rnacentral:rRNA from 1 species
GACGAACGCUGGCGGCGUGCUUAACACAUGCAAGUCGAACGGUAAGGCCCUCCGGGGUACACGAGUGGCGAACGGGUGAGUAACGCGUGAGUAACCUGCCCUUGACUCUGGGAUAACAGAUGGAAACGUCUGCUAAUACCGGAUACUCAGCCUUGUGGGCAUCCACAGGGUUGGAAAGCUCCGGCGGUCAAGGAUGGACUCGCGUCCUAUCAGCUAGUUGGUGGGGUAACGGCCUACCAAGGCGACGACGGGUAGCCGGCCUGAGAGGGCGACCGGCCACAUUGGGACUGAGAUACGGCCCAGACUCCUACGGGAGGCAGCAGUGGGGAAUAUUGCACAAUGGGCGAAAGCCUGAUGCAGCAACGCCGCGUGCGGGAUGACGGCCUUCGGGUUGUAAACCGCUUUCAGCAGGGACGAAGCGCAAGUGACGGUACCUGCAAAAGAAGCACCGGCUAACUCCGUGCCAGCAGCCGCCGUAAGAC